AACGAACGCUGGCGGCAUGCCUAACACAUGCAAGUCGAACGAAGGCUUCGGCCUUAGUGGCGCACGGGUGCGUAACGCGUGGGAAUCUGCCCUUGGGUACGGAAUAACUCCUCGAAAGGGGUGCUAAUACCGUAUGAUGUCGUAAGACCAAAGAUUUAUCGCCCGAGGAUGAGCCCGCGUUGGAUUAGCUAGUUGGUGGGGUAAAGGCCUACCAAGGCGACGAUCCAUAGCUGGUCUGAGAGGAUGAUCAGCCACACUGGGACGGAGACACGGCCCAGACUCCUACGGGAGGCAGCAGUGGGGAAUAUUGGACAAUGGGCGCAAGCCUGAUCCAGCAAUGCCGCGUGAGUGAUGAAGGCCUUAGGGUUGUAAAGCUCUUUUACCCGGGAAGAUAAUGACUGUACCGGGAGAAUAAGCCCCGGCUAACUCCGUGCCAGCCGCCGCCGUAAGAC
rnacentral:rRNA from 1 species